UACGAAGGGGGCUAGCGUUGUUCGGAAUGACUGGGCGUAAAGGGCGCGUAGGCGGCGAUGUAAGUCAGGCGUGAAAGCCCCGGGCUCAACCUGGGAACGGCGCUUGAUACUGCGUUGCUUGAGGACGGGAGAGGAUGGUGGAAUUCCCAGUGUAGAGGUGAAAUUCGUAGAUAUUGGGAAGAACACCGGUGGCGAAGGCGGCUCUCUGGACCGAGACUGACGCUGAGGCGCGAAAGCGUGGGGAGCAAACAGG
rnacentral:rRNA from 1 species